rnacentral:rRNA from 1 species
AGCAGCCGCGGUAAUUCCAGCUCCAAUAGCGUAUAUUAAAGUUGUUGCAGUUAAAAAGCUCGUAGUUGAAUUUCGGGAUCAAGGGAUCGGUCAUGCCUUGGUAUGUACUGGUCUUAUUGGUUCUCACCUUCUAAAGAACCAUGAUGUCAUUUAUUUGAUGUUAUGGGGAAUUAGGACUGUUACCUUGAAAAAUUAGAGUGUUUAAAGCAAGCUUACGCUUGAAUACAUUAGCAUGGAAUAAUGAAAUAGGACAUCAGAUUCUAUUUUGUUGGUUUCUAGGAUCGAUGUAAUGAUUAAUAGGGAUAGUUGGGGGCAUUAGUAUUCAAUUGUCAGAGGUGAAAUUCUUGGAUUUAUUGAAGACUAACUACUGCGAAAGCAUUUGCCAAGGAUGUUUUCAUUAAUCAAGAACGAAAGUUAGGGGAUCGAAGACGAUCAGAUACCGUCGUAGUC